rnacentral:rRNA from 1 species
UACGGAAGGCAGCAGUGGGGAAUAUUGCACAAUGGGCGAAAGCCUGAUGCAGCUAUGCCGCGUGUAUGAAGAAGGCCUUAGGGUUGUAAAGUACUUUCAUCGGGGAGGAAAAACAAAACUAAUAAUUUUAUUUCUUGACGUUACCCGAAAAAGAAGCACCGGCUAACUCCGUGCCAGCAGCCGCGGUAAUACGGAGGGUGCUAGCGUUAAUCAGAAUUACUGGGCGUAAAGAGCACGUAGGUGGUUUUUUUAAAUCAGAUGUGAAAUCCCUGGGCUUAACCUAGGAACUGCAUUUUGAAACUGAAAUACUAGAGUAUCGUAGAGGGAGGUAGAAUUCUAGGUGUAGCGGUGAAAUGCGUAGAUAUCUGGAGGAAUACCUGUGGCGAAAGCGGCCUCCUAAACGAAUACUGACACUGAGGUGCGAAAGCGUGGGGAGCAAACAGGGAUUAGAUACC